UACGGAGGGUGCUAGCGUUUCUCGGAAUUAUUGGGCGUAAAGCGAAAGUAGGUGGUCUUGUAUGUCUGGGGUGAAAGCCCUGAGCUCAACUCAGGAAUGUCCUCAGAAACUGCAAGACUAGAGUCCUGGAGGGGAUCGUAGAAUUCCCGGUGUAGCGGUGAAAUGCGUAGAGAUCGGGAGGAAUACCAGCGGCGAAAGCGGCGAUCUGGACAGGUACUGACACUGAAUUUCGAGAGCGUGGGGAGCAAACAGG
rnacentral:rRNA from 1 species